GGCAGGCCUAACACAUGCAAGUCGAGCGGUAGAGAGAAGCUUGCUUCUCUUGAGAGCGGCGGACGGGUGAGUAAUGCCUAGGAAUCUGCCUGGUAGUGGGGGAUAACGUUCGGAAACGGACGCUAAUACCGCAUACGUCCUACGGGAGAAAGCAGGGGACCUUCGGGCCUUGCGCUAUCAGAUGAGCCUAGGUCGGAUUAGCUAGUUGGUGAGGUAAUGGCUCACCAAGGCGACGAUCCGUAACUGGUCUGAGAGGAUGAUCAGUCACACUGGAACUGAGACACGGUCCAGACUCCUACGGGAGGCAGCAGUGGGGAAUAUUGGACAAUGGGCGAAAGCCUGAUCCAGCCAUGCCGCGUGUGUGAAGAAGGUCUUCGGAUUGUAAAGCACUUUAAGUUGGGAGGAAGGGCAGUUACCUAAUACGUGAUUGUUUUGACGUUACCGACAGAAUAAGCACCGGCUAACUCUGUGCCAGCAGCCGCGGUAAUACAGAGGGUGCAAGCGUUAAUCGGAAUUACUGGGCGUAAAGCGCGCGUAGGUGGUUAGUUAAGUUGGAUGUGAAAUCCCCGGGCUCAACCUGGGAACUGCAUUCAAAACUGACUGACUAGAGUAUGGUAGAGGGUGGUGGAAUUUCCUGUGUAGCGGUGAAAUGCGUAGAUAUAGGAAGGAACACCAGUGGCGAAGGCGACCACCUGGACUGAUACUGACACUGAGGUGCGAAAGCGUGGGGAGCAAACAGGAUUA
rnacentral:rRNA from 1 species